GCUUCUAUGACGUUAGCGGCGGACGGGUGAGUAACACGUGGGCAACCUGCCUGUAAGACUGGGAUAACUUCGGGAAACCGAAGCUAAUACCGGAUAGGAUCUUCUCCUUCAUGGGAGAUGAUUGAAAGAUGGUUUCGGCUAUCACUUACAGAUGGGCCCGCGGUGCAUUAGCUAGUUGGUGAGGUAACGGCUCACCAAGGCAACGAUGCAUAGCCGACCUGAGAGGGUGAUCGGCCACACUGGGACUGAGACACGGCCCAGACUCCUACGGGAGGCAGCAGUAGGGAAUCUUCCGCAAUGGACGAAAGUCUGACGGAGCAACGCCGCGUGAGUGAUGAAGGCUUUCGGGUCGUAAAACUCUGUUGUUAGGGAAGAACAAGUACGAGAGUAACUGCUCGUACCUUGACGGUACCUAACCAGAAAGCCACGGCUAACUACGUGCCAGCAGCCGCGGUAAUACGUAGGUGGCAAGCGUUAUCCGGAAUUAUUGGGCGUAAAGCGCGCGCAGGCGGUUUCUUAAGUCUGAUGUGAAAGCCCACGGCUCAACCGUGGAGGGUCAUUGGAAACUGGGGAACUUGAGUGCAGAAGAGAAAAGCGGAAUUCCACGUGUAGCGGUGAAAUGCGUAGAGAUGUGGAGGAACACCAGUGGCGAAGGCGGCUUUUUGGUCUGUAACUGACGCUGAGGCGCGAAAGCGUGGGGAGCAAACAGGAUUAGAUA
rnacentral:rRNA from 1 species